UCCAAAAUGGCAGCUUGCAGCAUUGAAGAUGUGCUCGCCAAAGCAGAGAGAGAUGAGGCUGAAAAACUUAAAAGUAUUUCUGUCCACAAAGAAUUGGAGCUCGAAUUUGAUCCAGGGAACCUGAUCGCUUUCGAUAAAAACCCUACGGACACCCGAGCGUUUAAAAAACAGAACAAAGAUGCGUUCCUGCGCUCUUUGGCCCGGGACAACACGCAGCUGCUCAUCAAUGAGCUCUGGAAACUGCCAACGGAGAGGGUCGAGGAGGUAAUUGUGGCUAAACUACCCGAGCCCACUACCCGCCUGCCGAGAGAGAAACCUGUCCCAAAACCCAGGCCUUCUACCAAAUGGGAGGAAUUCGCCAAACUAAAAGGGAUCCAAAAGAAAAAGAAAACUAACUUGGUGUGGGACGACGUGCACAAGGAGUGGAAAAGGCGAUGGGGCUACAAGCGAGCCAAUGAUGAUACCAAAGAGUGGCUGAUCGAGGUGCCAGAGACUGCCGACCCGAAUGAGGACCAGUUCAGCAAACGCAUCAAAGCAAAGAAGGAAAGGGUGGCAAAAAACGAACUGAACCGACUACGAAACAUCGCCAGGGGGCAAAAGAUUAAAGUGCCUGGCGUGGGACUUGCACCUUCAGACCAGCAGUCAAAAACGGAGCUGGGCAAAGCUAUUCAUGUUGCUAAACACUCCACGGCCUCCGUGGGUAAAUUUCAAGGUAACCUUCCCAAGGAAAAAGCGCCCAAGAACAUUGGCAAGAAGAGACAGUUUCAGCCGCUCAUAGGCGAUUUCUCUGUCGAGAAACAGAAGCAGCUGGACUUGUUAAACAUCAUGGACAGCAAGAAGCCGAGAAUUGACAUCACCAAAGCGGUGAACAAACAGAUGAGAGAAGAGGAUCGGCAGUCCGGGUUUCAGAAGAGAAAGUCAUCUGGUAAAAAGGGACGUAAGGGUAACUUCUCGGGGAAAGGGACGGCCAAGGGGAAGGGUAAAAAAGGAGGACCAGGGGGAGGCGGCGGCAAGAAUAGAAAACCACGCAUGAAGCAAGGAAAACGAUAGAAAGAAAGAAAAUAUCCCGUUAACAGACGUUUACUUGUGCUAUGACUUUGUCCAUUCAUGUGGUAAUUACGGUCAUUGUUUUGGGGUUUCUCCAAAAAUACUGCUGCGAAACGAAUGUUGUACCCUAUAACUGGACUUGUUAAGGACUAUAAUGUGAAUCAUCAUUUGGUGGGACCGACGUCUGCAACGCAAAGCGGGAGAAUGCUGAGCUUAUUUUGGCAGGCACUCUCCGGAAAUUGUUGUUUGAUUUGAAUGUUGGUGAUGGCCUGAGCGCCAUUGGUUAUACUAAAGAAGAUAUUCCUGCUUUAGUCAAAGGCACCAUCCAUCAGGAAUCUGGCACCAAGACUUCAAACAGAAGAGGACCUGACGGGCUGGUUUGAAGCUUCGAUGAAACUUUACUAACAGAGUGAAAUACAAGCUGGCAUCACAGCUAUUCCUGUGAAUCACAAAAAAGGAUGCUCUGUGAAUGAUUAUUUUAAGAUCUGUUGCCCUCUAAUAUGUUAGAUGCAUUUUUUUUUUUAAAAUGCAGUAGAAUGUCAAAAAUCUGUCAGAAAUGCAGGUGUUAUGCAUUAUACUGUAGGUGCAAAGUACUGUACAUACUUAAACACAUGUAUUCUUUUAUUUAAA